GAUGAACGCUGGCGGCGUGCCUAAUACAUGCAAGUCGAGCGAACGGACGAGAAUCUUGCUUCUCUGAUGUUAGCGGCGGACGGGUGAGUAACACGUGGAUAACCUACCUAUAAGACUGAGAUCACUUCGGGAAACCGGAGCUAAUACCGGAUAAUAUUUUGAACCGCAUGGUUCAAAAGUGAAAGACGGUCUUGCUGUCACUUAUAGAUGUAUCCGCGCUGCAUUAGCUAGUUGGUAAGGUAACGGCUUACCAAGGCAACGAUGCGUAGCCGACCUGAGAGGGUGGUCGGCCACAAUGGAACUGAGACACGGUCCCGACUCCUACGGGAGGCAGCAGUGGGGAAUAUUCCGCAAUGGGCGAAAGCCUGAAGGAGCCACGCCGCGUGAGUGAUGAAGGUCUUCGGAUCGUAAAGCUCUGUUAUUAGGGAAGAACAUAUGUGUAAGAAGCUGUGCACAUCUUGACGGUACCUAAUGAGAAAGCCACGGCUAACUACGUG
rnacentral:rRNA from 1 species